rnacentral:ncRNA from 1 species
UGCGAUGAGUCGAUCGACCGGCGUUUUGCCGGUCAAUCAACCAGAGGCACAGGAGCUUAGGCUCACCUGCCGGAUUGCAGGGUGUCGGAAGAAAGGUAGUGGACGACC